rnacentral:sRNA from 1 species
GAGGUGGUGGCCCUGAUCACAGUGGCCUCUUUGGGUCUGAGGACAUGAGGACAAGCCUUCCCCACCCUAGGGGGCUCCUCACCCUGCCACCUUGCCCACCCACCCACCAUAUCCCCUUUUUUCAGUGUUACUGGUGCGGAAUCUGAACUCAGAUGACCAGGCUGUUGUGCUGAAGGCCCUGAGAUUGGCGCCCGAGGGGCGUCUGCGAAGGGACGGGCUGCGGGCCCUCAGCUCCCUGCUCGUCCAUGGCAACAACAAGGUCAUGGCUGCUGUCAGCACCCAGCUCCGAAGCCUGUCACUGGGCCCUACCUUCCGGGAGAGGGCCCUCCUGUGCUUCCUGGACCAGCUGGAGGAUGAGGACGUGCAGACUCGAGUGGCU